rnacentral:ncRNA from 2 species
ACCACCCGUCGCUCUUACCGAUUGAAUGGCCCAGUAAAGUGUUCAGAUCGUGACGACGUGCGCAGUUCGCUGCCCACGACAUCGUGAGAAGUCCAUUGAACCUUAUCAUUUAGAGGAAUGAGAAGUCGUAACAAGGUUUCCGUAGGUGAACUUGUUAAAG